rnacentral:rRNA from 1 species
CAGUAGCCGCGGGAAUACGUAGGGUGCAAGCGUUAAUCGGAAUUACUGGGCGUAAAGAGUGUGUAGGCGGUGCUCUAAGUUCGGUGUGAAAUCUCCCGGCUCAACUGGGAGGGUGCGCCGGAAACUGGAGUGCUCGAGCGUGGGAGAGGAAAGCGGAAUUCCUGGUGUAGCGGUGAAAUGCGUAGAUAUCAGGAGGAACACCUGUGGUGUAGACGGCUUUCUGGACCAUUGCUGACGCUGAGACACGAAAGCGUGGGUAGCAAACAGGAUUAGAUACCCCAGUAGUCCCUGUCUCUUAUAC